GGACGAACGCUGGCGGCGUGCCUAACACAUGCAAGUCGAGCGAGGAGAUCCUUCGGGAUGAUCCUAGCGGCGGACGGGUGAGUAACACGUGGGCAACCUGCCUCAUAGAGAGGAAUAGCCUUCCGAAAGGGAGAUUAAUACCUCAUAACAUUGCAGUUUCGCAUGGAACAGCAAUUAAAGGAGCAAUCCGCUAUGAGAUGGGCCCGCGGCGCAUUAGCUAGUUGGUGAGGUAACGGCUCACCAAGGCGACGAUGCGUAGCCGACCUGAGAGGGUGAUCGGCCACAUUGGGACUGAGACACGGCCCAGACUCCUACGGGAGGCAGCAGUGGGGAAUAUUGCACAAUGGGGGAAACCCUGAUGCAGCCAACGCCGCGUGAGUGAUGACGGCCUUCGGGUUGUAAAGCUCUGUCUUCAGGGACGAUAAUGACGGUACCUGAGGAGGAAGCCACGGCUAACUACGUGCCAGCAGCUGC
rnacentral:rRNA from 1 species